ACCCUGUAGACCCGGGUUUAUGUGUUCAUGUUUAACUUACAGAAGCUCUGUUCUACAGGUAU
rnacentral:pre_miRNA from 1 species